GCCGGAGAAGUAUGCCUCAGCCCUCAGGUGAGGGAGAGUCGCCAGGGAGCGUCGCCGUGGUUGGAUGGACGCCGCCCUUUUGCCUUGUGACGGAGGAAGCCGCGGAUGAGGGCGCGUUGCGCCAUGCGCGUGCGCCUGAGGGCGCUGCCGUCGCGUUGCCGCUGUGCCUCUUCCAGCCCCAGCCAUUCAUCCGCUCUAGCCGUUGCAUCCCGUGGAUGAGCAGCCGAGGCGCCUGGACGCGGGAGCCGCUAGCGAUGUUGCAGAUCGUUUGAUCCAGUGCAAGAAAAACUGAAAAAAGCAGUUAAUCUUCAGAUCAUGGGAAGAACAAAAAUUAAACGGAAUUAGUGUUUCCUGAUUGAUUUCCCGAUGCUCGUUCAGGCAGUCGCUGUGCUGACGCCGUUUAAGGGUUCGUGCUUGACUCGUUGGCUGCAGCCGCCGCCGACUGGUAGGGUCCCGCUGAUGGUGUCUGCGCCACCGGGAGGAGCGAGGCCGCAUCACCCCGCGCCGGAGGACGCCCCAUGCGCCAGAGGGCGCCUCGUGUGGUGCUUAUGUGCGGGUGACCGUGCCGCCGGGCGAGGACUGCGGUGUCGCGCGCCCGCCGGUGGCCACAGCGCUGUAGGGCUAGAACAGAGGCGUCUCCUAUGCUUUUGUGGCCUUCACGCUCUCGGUAGAGCCGAGUGCUGAUUGUUGUAAUAUCAAAGUAAAGGAGACAAAGAAGAGACACAAAUGAUUCUCUUAGUCUAUUGCAAUGUGUGAGACCCACUCAUAUACAGGCUGAAGGGGUGUGUUGGGGAGACACCUCUUUCCCAACAGACACUUUCUGGGAGGCAUUCCUCCCAUAUAAUUGAUCACAUGUUUUAUUUCUUAA